CAAAACGUCCCCAAACCUUCCCAUCCUCUAGAACCUUCCUCCAACUUCCACAACAUACGUGAAUAUUCCUACAAGUCUAUAUGACAAUUUUGGUCAUUUUUAUUUCAUUUUUAGCAUAUCCCCAAGAGCUAGGAAGUCCUAGAAACUUCUCCAAACAUAUUCCAACAUAUUUCCAAGCCUAAACCAAGUAUCAAAGUGAAGAUUAAAGUGGUUAAGGGUUUCCAAAUGAGGUCUAUACUUGUCUCCUCUUGUUGAAGAUAUUUGGGUGAGUAUUUUUAAGGUGGAGAAACCAUGGAAUUGAAGUGUUCUCGAAUUUUGAGAUUUCAAGACAUGAGAUAGGUUGGAAAGUCGAGAAGCGAGCUUUCAGGUAUGUUAAGGCUAUCCUUUCUUUCAUUUUGGCAUGAUCCUAAAAUAUGAACAAACAAAAGAGUAAGCGAGCUUCCAUAUUACUCUGCUCUUAGAAGCACAAGGAGUACUUCAGUCUUUGAUGUUCCUGUAGCCCUUUUAUGAUUGUUCCUUGACUUCUUAAGUCCCGAAGGGGCAUCCAUAGGUCGUAUGUUUCCGUAAUGGUGUCUAAAUCCCGAAGGGGACAUGUUGCACCUUAUUUUUACCAAGGCUAAACAAAGCACAACUUAUGGAGCUCUGAAAUAAUUAAUUAUGUAAAGAGUCGCCACCUAGCAUUUAAGGUAUACUAGGGUACCUAUAAAUUAUUAAUAUAUGCAGCUUAACAUGGUCUACGAAAAUAAGUGAGAUUCUAGGUAAGGGUUCAAAUUAUUCCGAAGGGAAGGUGUUAGACAUCCUUCAGAAUCCACAAAUGUGGUUCCCGGCUGGACCAAUUUAACUAUUCGAGGGAUGUGUAAAAAGGCUUGAUUAUUACUUACAAAAAUUAGUAGAAUUUAGACUAAAGAAUAACUAAUAUGACUAUUCACAUAAAUAAUCGUGCAAUAUGUAUUUUUUACAUAUGUGAUAUAAUAAUUACUUUUUUUAAAAAAAAAGGUUAUGUGCAACUUAGAAACUUGGGUAUGUGACAAAGGUAUAAAAAGAAAAUGGACAUGAAAUUAUUUUGCGCUCGAAGUGAGUUAACUAAUUUAACUAGUUAAGUAUGUACGCCUAAUCAAUUAAUUAUGAGAGUACAUUCUAAAGCCUAAAUAUUGAGGCAAAUCACCCUAUUUAUUCACUUAAGUGUGCUAAGCUAUUGAAUUAAAACUCUAGCGAAACAUGAUAACUAUCAGAAUAUUAACUACAAAAAUAAUAACUGUCUAAUAUUAAUUUAUCUAAAACACAUAAAAUUUAAAUCACCUAAGCAGAUCAUAAAUAAAUA